GACGAACGCUGGCGGCGUGCCUAAUACAUGCAAGUAGAACGCUGAAGCGAGGAGCUUGCUCUUCUUGGAUGAGUUGCGAACGGGUGAGUAACGCGUAGGUAACCUGCCUGGUAGCGGGGGAUAACUAUUGGAAACGAUAGCUAAUACCGCAUAAAAUUGAUUAUUGCAUGAUAAUUAAUUGAAAGAUGCAACUGCAUCACUACCAGAUGGACCUGCGUUGUAUUAGCUAGUUGGUGAGGUAACGGCUCACCAAGGCGACGAUACAUAGCCGACCUGAGAGGGUGAUCGGCCACACUGGGACUGAGACACGGCCCAGACUCCUACGGGAGGCAGCAGUAGGGAAUCUUCGGCAAUGGGGGGAACCCUGACCGAGCAACGCCGCGUGAGUGAAGAAGGUUUUCGGAUCGUAAAGCUCUGUUGUAAGAGAAGAACGGGUGUGAGAGUGGAAAGUUCACACUGUGACGGUAUCUUACCAGAAAGGGACGGCUAACUACGUG
rnacentral:rRNA from 1 species